UACGUAGGGGGCGAGCGUUGUCCGGAUUUAUUGGGCGUAAAAGGCUUGUAGGUGGCCACGUCAAGUCGGCUGUGAAAGCCCCCGGCUCAACUGGGGAGGGUCAUUCGAUACUGAUCGACUCGAAGGCAGGAGAGGGUAGUGGAAUUCCCGGUGUAGUGGUGAAAUGCGUAGAUAUCGGGAGGAACACCAGUGGCGAAGGCGACUACCUGGCCUGUUCUUGACGCUGAGGCGCGAAAGCUAGGGGAGCAAACGGG
rnacentral:rRNA from 1 species